AGUAGCCGCGGUAAUACGAAGGGUGCAAGCGUUACUCGGAAUUACUGGGCGUAAAGCGUGCGUAGGUGGUGGUUUAAGUCCGUUGUGAAAGCCCUGGGCUCAACUUGGGAAUUGCAGUGGAUACUGGGUCACUAGAGUGUGGUAGAGGAUAGUGGAAUUUCCGGUGUAGCAGUGAAAUGCGUAGAGAUCGGAAGGAACAUCUGUGGCGAAGGCGACUAUCUGGGCCAACACUGACACUGAGGCACGAAAGCGUGGGGAGCAAACAGGAUUAGAUACCCCAGUAGUCCCUGUCUCUUAUACA
rnacentral:rRNA from 1 species